rnacentral:rRNA from 1 species
AAGGAAAGGUGAAAAGAACCCCGAGCAGGGGAGUGAAAUAGUUCCUGAAACCAUGCGCCUACAAGCGGUCGGAGCUGCUUAGGCAGUGACGGCGUGCCUUUUGCAUAAUGAACCUACGAGUUACCAUCUCUGGCGAGGUUAAGCUUCACGAGGAGCGCAACCGCAGUGAAAGCGAGCCUGAACAGGGCGUCGAGUCAGAGGGGGUAGACGCGAAACCAAGUGAUCUACACUUGUCCAGGUUGAAGUCCCGGUAACACGGGAUGGAGGACCGAACCAAUAAGCGUUGAAAAGCUUCUGGAUGAGAUGAGUGUAGGAGUGAAAGGCCAAUCAAACUUGGAGAUAGCUCGUACUCCCCGAAAGGCAUUUAGGUGCCGCGUCGGAUGGUCACCGUGAGAGGUAGAGCGACCGAUAGGACAAGAGGGCUUCACCGCCUAUCGAGUCCUGACGAACUCCGAAUGCUCACGGUCUGCAGUCCGGCAGUAAGGGGGCGGGUGCUAAGGUCCGUCCCCGAGAGGAGAAGAAUCCAGACCGCCGUCUAAGGUCCCGGAAUUCUGUCUAAGUUAGUCUAACGAAGUGGGGUCUCAGUGACAGCCAGGAUGUUGGCUUGGAAGCAGCCAUUCAUUCAAAGAGUGCGUAACAGCUCACUGGUCGAGAGUCCCUGCAUGGAUAAUAAUCGGGUAUAAGGCAGACACCGAAGGCGCGGGAUAGCAAUAAUAAAAGUAUCGGUAGGGGAGCAUUCCAUAUCCGUCGAAUGGUGCGGGUAACCUAUCCUGGAGGAUAUGGAAAAGCAAAUGUAGGUAUAAGUAACGAUAAGGAGGGUAAGAUUCCCUCCCGCCGCAAGACUAAGGUUUCCCGGGCAAUGUCAAUCAUCCCGGGGUCAGUCGGGUCCUAAGUCUCAGCCGAACGGCGAGGGCGAUGGCAGACACGGUCAACAUUCCGUGACUACCGUGGGCAGCGAUGCGGAGACGGAGCAGUGAAACUUCCGCGAACCGACGGAAUGGUUCGUUAAAGAGUGUAGGUGUUGAUUCUGGUAGGCAAAUCCGCAGUCAGAGCCGAACUUGAAAGUACAGGGUCCUCUUCGGAGGAACUUGAUAGCGAGGGUAAGCAUACUCCCGAGAAAAUCCGCUAAGCAAUGUCCAUGGUACCCGUACCGUAAACGGACACACGUAGUCGGGUAGAACAUACUAAGGCGUUGAGAGAUUCAUGGUUAAGGAACUAGGCAAACUGACCCCGUAACUUCGGGAUAAGGGGUCCUCGUGAUGAGCGAGGCGCAGAGAAUAGGUCCAGGCAACUGUUUAACAAAAACACAGGGCUGUGCAAACU